UGUGUGUGUGUGUGGCAAUGCUAUGUUGGUUGGUGUGUGUGUGUGUGUGUGUGAAUGCUAUGUUGGUUGGUCCCCAAAAUACUUUUUGGAAUCUCAAUUGGUCUGUGAAAUCAAAAUACCAGGCAACCACUGGUUUACGCUUAGAGGGCUCUGACAUUCAGGAAUGUUCUGUGGAUUGUUGUGUAAAAUAACAAAGGACUAGGCCGAGGGCUGCCCAGGACUCUCUCCCAUUCCCUGCCUGUCCAGGUGACCCUCAACCUCAGGACGCAGCUCAAAUCCCACCCGCACUCCCAUGCAACUGCCAACCUGAUGGCUCCCUCCUCGUGACCCUGGCUCCCUCGCAGCCCUCACAGCACCUUUUGCCUUGGCCUGUUUUCCCUGCCUUAGCUCCAGAUGGAGUGACUCACAGCCGGGACAAAGGUCCCCUCGCUCUUGCCCCUGCAGUCUACCCACAAAGCAGCCAGGAGAGCUUCUAAAAAUGCAAAGCAGGUGGCGUUCUUCUGAGUAAGCCCUCCCAUGGCUCCCUAUCUUAAUACAAAAGCUGAAAUCUCAUGACCUGUGAGGCCCUCCAGCUGGCUCGCAGCCACCCCUCCAAAACCGAGUGCCUGCCAGCGCACUGCCCACCCAGCUGCAGCCAGGCCCCCCACUGCUCAGCACCAUCUCCUCAGAGGCCCCCCCAUUCUUCCACGGGCAUGUUCCCUAUCCCCUUAGAGCACGCUUGGGCCUGAACUGAUCUUGGGUUCUGUCGCCUGUCUACCCCACUGGAAUGCAAACUCCACAGAGGCAGGGCUUUCUCUGUCCCCUGCCGCAUCCGCAGUGCCGGGAACAGUGCCUGUCAUGGAGCAGGUGCAGUCGAAUGACCGACUCCAUGAAGUGAGGUGAGUCACCCACCACGCAGGGAAGAGUGGACAUGGGUAAACGGGCGCUGCCUGGGCUCCAGGCGCACUGACUGCAUCCUGGCUGCUUGACUGAUGUGGCUAAUAAAUGACUAGAAGGCGAGCCCUCUAGGGCACAGCAGACUGGAUACUUGAUUAACCCAGGGUCUGUGUUAAUUCCAGAUGCCAAAAUAAUUUCUAGAAUUUCACCUGAGACCUAGAGGUAGUUCAUUUGAAAAUAAACAUGAUUUUCCAGAAGGCUCGAGCUUUCUCAAGGAAAGCAAUGCCCUGGACUCUCCUUCCACAAGAAAUCAGGAAGACAGGCUUUGGAAUUCCCAGUGGGGAAGCACAGUUGGAGGGGCCGGCCUCGCGCACCACAGUGCGCAACGCUGAACACAGGGCUCCCAGGCAGAGACUGGGAGGUCCCAACACCUAGACCCACAGGUGCACCCGCAUCUCCCAUGCUUUUACCCUUUCUCCUCCACCCCAUUUAUAGAAGUGAUCAGAGGUGAAUAAGGAAAUAGUGGGGGAACUGACUCCCUGGAAAGUCUGAAUUUGAGUGAAAUAAUGGGGAGAACUGAACCCCUGGAAAGUCUGAAUUCUGCUUCAUCAAAGCCCAACACGGGCCUGUUUCCCUCUGCUGUCAACCCCAGGGAAUGGGGUGUCAACGGGGCCCACAGUCAUAUUGUCUCAAGCACCGACAGCACCGCUGCAGGGACGCCCUCUACCCCCACAAGCAGAAACGCUCGACGCAACGCCGGGAACGUGUCUUUAUUAAAGAUGCAAGCAAGCACAGAAGGAUCAUGUGUAGUGCUCAGUAACAUCCAUACAGUACUAAAAAUAGAAAAAUAUAAAUGAAAUUUCACAGAAAGCAGCCUCCCUCACAGAAACACAGGCAAGGUGCUGCCGAGCCCACCAUGCGAUGCCACGUGCCACCUGCCUGGCCACGCUUCUCCCCUUUACAAACAAAAACACAAGCUUCUCUCUACACCCGUUUCAAAUACAGCACCAAGAACGGAGACCCCUUCCACAUCAGCGACCCUCCUGACCACCACUUUGGGUGCUUCCCAGCCACAUAAAUGACAGACAACCCCGGUCCCCACGGGGUUGGCUGGCUACUGGCCCCCGACUCUCCAUCGCUUCAGCGAAUGUGGGUGAGAAAAUUAGGCAGUGAAGCAAUAAAGACCUCACCUUUACUCCCUCAGAUACACGGAGGGACGAGGUGGACAGACACGCAGGCGGCCGUGCCAACCUGAUCCGAGUGAAACAGGGCUA